rnacentral:rRNA from 2 species
CAAACGACUCUCGGCAACGGAUAUCCCGGCUCUCGCAUCGAUGAAGAACGUAGCGAAAUGCGAUACUUGGUGUGAAUUGCAGAAUCCCGUGAACCAUCGAGUCUUUGAACGCAAGUUGCGCCCGAAGCCACUAGGCUGAGGGCACGUCUGCCUGGGUGUCACG